rnacentral:lncRNA from 1 species
ACCGUGAAAACGGAGACAGGCCGGCUAGAGCGUAACAAGUGUCAAGACAACUCCAGUUUGCUUGUCAACAAAGAAAACAUGCAACACUGAGCCCGUACACGUAAGUUAUUUUCAUUCGGGAAACUUGAAAUUAUCUGUUCCUCAAAGCUCACAAUUUUUCUAAGCUUCACUCGAACUACUUAUACAACCUCUGAGCAUAUUUUGCGAAAAAUGGAAGCUGUUGUUGUACAUUCAUGUUUCAGAUAUUCUUGGGAAUGCUUGCGAAGAGUAUCUAGAACAAUCGAGCAUCUAAUCACGUACCCUUGGACACAUUAGAUCCAAGCGAUUGAACAAAGAUUCUAAACUCCCUCGACAAUUUAAAUUACAUCAUAGCGUGCACGCAAGGUCUACCUAUUUCCCAAGGCCUACCGCGGUAAAAAAAUCCUUAUGUACAGUACGACCGUGCAUCCAUCACAUGACAAGUAUAGCCGCGAGGUUUCAAAACUUUCGAGAUUUUUUCCCGCUCUAUCCCGAUUGAGAUAGAUAUGGUAGGGUAAGGUAAGGUAUAAACUUUAUUUUACCAGAGUGGGCCAAUCAGCCGUUAGGCUGGUAUCCAGAGGGGCCCAGAGCAGACCUUUUGGAGCUCAAAAUGAAAAUAAACAUGUAAGUAAUACUAAUUUCGAAAAACAAUGAACAUCUAGUACUUUCAAGCGACGAAAUUAGUCUCAAACGCGAUGCGAAUCAUGGCUGAAAAAAACAAAACUAAGCUUUCUGACUUCAACUGAGGCUCUGCGAUGUCGGGUAAUCUUCAUUAAACGGUAUUUUGAAGUGUUGAUAUGUCUUAAAAGUGUUGUUAGUGUUGUUCAAUGAUUUGAAAUCGUACAAUUUUUAGAAUUUUCAUCAAAUUUAGUGCUACUUACAAUUUAUGCGUUUGUUUGUUUAUUUAUAAGCGAAUCUUUCGGUACUUUUACAAAAUAAAAAUUCUAAAUCCAAUCAAAUUUUAUCCAACUACUUUCUGCUACCUUGAUUUAAUUUAUUAAUUUUAUUAUCCUAUCUCAUGAAAUUUCCUUUAAUCUUCGAUUUGAUAAGUAAGACCAUCAGCUUGCUUUUCUUUUGAAUAUUUUUAUUUUUACUUUACUGGUAGGCUCUAAAAACAAAUGUGAUUAACAUUUUACUAAUAAAACACCCUGCCUUUGGUCUAUGAUACAUAGCAAUGAGAAAUGAUCUAACAAGAAUCUCUCAAUGGAUUUGUUGGCUACGAAUACUUAUUCACCUUUGAAAUUCUCAGCUAAAUGACGUUGUAUAUUUAUACUCAAGAGUUGUUAUAUUUUUAUCCUUCUCCCCCCAUCCAUCCUCCACUAACUUUAUUCCUUUCCUUAAUUUGUCUCUUUGUUUGUUUGUACCAUGAAUAAUGUUUGCACGGAAAAAUCUGCUUGUGAUAAGGCUGUUGGUAUCUGUGAUCAAGAAGAGGGAAUGGAAUGCAACAUAGACUGCUGUUCAGAAGACCUGGCAACGGUGAUGAUAGAAAGUGACUUGGCAGGUUUCGAGACAUCUUCGUAGCCUCAGAGGAGCAUUACUUAUUGUGGUUGAUGCUCAGUUGACUGCUUUCCGAAACUAUGAAAAUCAUAAAGGGAGAGGAAGUUUUCCUCUCUACCUUAUUUAGAAAUAUGUAACGCAAAGAAGUUUAGUCUAUUUACCUCUUCGUAGCAUACAUAAAGCAGUGAAGAUUAUAUAAAAUGCUUUAACUUAUUCCAUAGUCGCACUAAGAGUUGUUUGUUGUGUUACAGAAUGUGACCUCAUGCAUGCAUGUAUUCAACAGUGGACUGUUGAAUUAAUUAAGUUGUGAUAAACGUUCCCGGAUCAUCUUCUUCUUUCGGGAUUAACCUAACUGACUCGUGUGUUCUCCGUGCAAUCCGUUUUUAUUCCAUCCCAUCCCAUCAUGACAGAAGGAGCGAAUUUAACACAGUGUAUAUUUUCAAUGUCCUGUUUGGUAAUGUUCCUGAAUUGAAGUCAUUGCAUUCCUUGUUUGUUUUGGUAAGAAUUAAAAUUCAGGUUUAAUAAAAUUGUUAUGUUGCAAGUA